rnacentral:rRNA from 1 species
GUACCCGCUGAACUUAAGCAUAUCAAUAAGCGGAGGAAAAGAAACCAACCGGGAUUGCCUCAGUAACGGCGAGUGAAGCGGCAACAGCUCAAAUUUGAAAUCUGGCCCUCGGGUCCGAGUUGUACUUUGCAGAGGAUGCUUCUGGCGAGGCGCUGCCCAAGUCCCCUGGAACGGGGCGCCGGAGAGGGUGAGAGCCCCGUACGGUCGGCGGCCGAGCCUGUGCGAAGCUCCUUCGACGAGUCGAGUAGUUUGGGAAUGCUGCUCUAAGCGGGAGGUAGACCCCUUCUAAAGCUAAAUACCGGCCAGAGACCGAUAGCGCACAAGUAGAGUGAUCGAAAGAUGAAAAGCACUUUGAAAAGAGGGUUAAACAGCACGUGAAAUUGUUGAAAGGGAAGCGCUUGCGACCAGACGUGCGCCGGGGUGCUCCGCGGGCGUUCUCGCCCGCGCACUCGCCCCGGCGCAGGCCAGCGUCGGUUCGGAUGGGGGGACAAAGGCGCCUGGAACGUGGCUCCCCCGGGAGUGUUAUAGCCAGGCGCGCCAUGCCCCCGCCCGGACCGAGGUUCGCGUUCUGCAAGGACGCUGGCGUAAUGGUCCCCAGCGGCCCGUCUUGAAACACGGACCAAGGAGUCGAGGUUUUGCGCGAGUGUCUGGGUGACAAACCCGCACGCGCAAUGAAAGUGAACGCUGGUGGGAGCUUCGGCGCACCACCGACCGAUCCUGAAGUUUACGGAUGGAUUUGAGUACGAGCGCAGGGCCUCGGACCCGAAAGAUGGUGAACUAUGCUUGGAUAGGGUGAAGCCAGAGGAAACUCUGGUGGAGGCUCGCAGCGGUUCUGACGUGCAAAUCGAUCGUCAAAUCUGAGCAUGGGGGCGAAAGACUAAUCGAACCGUCUAGUAGCUGGUUACUGCCGAAGUUUCCCUCAGGAUAGCAGUGUUGAUCUCAGUUUUAUGAGGUAAAGCGAAUGAUUAGGGACUCGGGGGCGCUUUUCACGCCUUCAUCCAUUCUCAAACUUUAAAUAUGUAAGAAGCCCUUGUUGCUUAGUGAANCGUGGCCUCGAAGCCCACCCAG